GAUGAACGCUGGCGGCGUGCCUAAUACAUGCAAGUCGAACGCACAGAUGAGGGGCUUGCUCCUCUGACGUUAGCGGCGGACGGGUGAGUAACACGUGGAUAACCUCCCUAUACGACGGAUAUAACUUCGGGACGCCGGCUAUAAUAGCGUAUAAUAUAUUGAUCCAUAAGGUUCAAUAAUAAAAUACAGUUUUACUGCCACCUGUAGAAGCAUCCUCGCCUCAUUAGGUAGUUGGGAAGGUAACGCCUUACAACGGCAAGAAAUAGUAGCCGCCCGGGGGGGGGAACCGCCCCAACUGGACUUGGACCCCGGUCAAGACUCCUACGGGAGGCAGCAGUAGGGAAUCUCGCGAAAUGGGCGAAAGCCUGACGGAGCACGGCCGCGUGAGUGAGGAAGUUCUUCGGAUCGUAAAACUCUGUUAUUAGGGAAGAACAAAUGUGUAAGUAACUAUGCACGCCUUGACGGUACCUAAUCAGAAAGCCACGGCUAACUACGUG
rnacentral:rRNA from 1 species